GAUGAAGAACGUAGCGAAAUGCGAUAAGUAGUGUGAAUUGCAGAAUUCAGUGAAUCAUCGAAUCUUUGAACGCACAUUGCGCCCCUUGGUAUCCCGAGGGGCAUGCCUGUUCGAGCGUCAUUUCACCACUCAAGCCUGGCUUGGUGUUGGGCGACGUCCUCUUUGGGGACGCGCCUCGAAACGCUCGGCGGCGUGGCACCGGCUUUAAGCGUAGCAGAAUCUUUUGCUUUGGAAGUCGGGGCCCCGUCUGCCGGAAGACCUGCUCGCAAGGUUGACCUCGGAUCAGGCAGGGAUACCCGCUGAACUUAAGCAUAUCAAUAAGCGGAGGA
rnacentral:misc_RNA from 1 species